rnacentral:rRNA from 1 species
CCUACGGGAGACUGCAGUGGGGAAUAUUGGACAAUGGGGGCAACCCUGAUCCAGCCAUGCCGCGUGUGUGAAGAAGGCCCUCGGGUUGUAAAGCACUUUCAGUGAGGAAGAACGCCUGGUGGUUAAUACCCAUCAGGAAAGACAUCACUCACAGAAGAAGCACCGGCUAACUCCGUGCCAGCAGCCGCGGUAAUACGGAGGGUGCGAGCGUUAAUCGGAAUUACUGGGCGUAAAGCGCGCGUAGGUGGCUUGAUAAGCCGGUUGUGAAAGCCCCGGGCUCAACCUGGGAACGGCAUCCGGAACUGUCAAGCUAGAGUGCAGGAGAGGAAGGUAGAAUUCCCGGUGUAGCGGUGAAAUGCGUAGAGAUCGGGAGGAAUACCAGUGGCGAAGGCGGCCUUCUGGACUGACACUGACACUGAGGUGCGAAAGCGUGGGUAGCAAACAGGAUUAGAUACCCUGGUAGUC